rnacentral:rRNA from 1 species
GAUGAACGCUUGCUACAGGCUUAACACAUGCAAGUCGAGGGGAAACGAUGAGAGAGCUUGCUCUCUUAGUCGUCGACCGGCGCACGGGUGAGUAGCGCGUAUCCAACCUGCCUCUGACCAAGGGAUAACCCGUCGAAAGUCGGACUAAUACCUUAUGCAGUCGUCGGAAGUCAUCUGAUGACGACGAAAGAUUUCAUCGGUGAGAGAUGGGGAUGCGUCUGAUUAGCUUGUUGGCGGGGUAACGGCCCACCAAGGCGACGAUCAGUAGGGGUUCUGAGAGGAAGGGCCCCCAGAUUGGAACUGGGACACGGUCCAAACUCCUACGGGAGGCAGCAGUGAGGAAUAUUGGUCAAUGGGCGUAAGCCUGAACCAGCCAAGUAGCGUGCAGGAUGACGGCCCUAUGGGUUGUAAACUGCUUUUAGGCGGGGAUAAAGUGAGGGACGUGUCCUUCAUUGCAGGUACCGCAUGAAUAAGAACCGGCUAAUUCCGUG